rnacentral:rRNA from 1 species
UUAAGCGACUAAGCGUACACGGUGGAUGCCCUGGCAGUCAGAGGCGAUGAAGGACGUGCUAAUCUGCGAUAAGCGUCGGUAAGGUGAUAUGAACCGUUAUAACCGGCGAUUUCCGAAUGGGGAAACCCAGUGUGAUUCGUCACACUAUCAUUAACUGAAUCCAUAGGUUAAUGAGGCGAACCGGGGGAACUGAAACAUCUAAGUACCCCGAGGAAAAGAAAUCAACCGAGAUUCCCCCAGUAGCGGCGAGCGAACGGGGAGGAGCCCAGAGUCUGAAUCAGUGUGUGUGUUAGUGGAAGCGUCUGGAAAGGCGCGCGAUACAGGGUGACAGCCCCGUACACAAAAAUGCACAUGCUGUGAGCUCGAUGAGUAGGGCGGGACACGUGGUAUCCUGUCUGAAUAUGGGGGGACCAUCCUCCAAGGCUAAAUACUCCUGACUGACCGAUAGUGAACCAGUACCGUGAGGGAAAGGCGAAAAGAACCCCGGCGAGGGGAGUGAAAAAGAACCUGAAACCGUGUACGUACAAGCAGUGGGAGCCUCUUUUAUGGGGUGACUGCGUACCUUUUGUAUAAUGGGUCAGCGACUUAUAUUCUGUAGCAAGGUUAACCGAAUAGGGGAGCCGAAGGGAAACCGAGUCUUAACUGGGCGUUAAGCUGCAGGGUAUAGACCCGAAACCCGGUGAUCUAGCCAUGGGCAGGUUGAAGGUUGGGUAACACUAACUGGAGGACCGAACCGACUAAUGUUGAAAAAUUAGCGGAUGACUUGUGGCUGGGGGUGAAAGGCCAAUCAAACCGGGAGAUAGCUGGUUCUCCCCGAAAGCUAUUUAGGUAGCGCCUCGUGAAUUCAUCUCCGGGGGUAGAGCACUGUUUCGGCAAGGGGGUCAUCCCGACUUACCAACCCGAUGCAAACUGCGAAUACCGGAGAAUGUUAUCACGGGAGACACACGGCGGGUGCUAACGUCCGUCGUGAAGAGGGAAACAACCCAGACCGCCAGCUAAGGUCCCAAAGUCAUGGUUAAGUGGGAAACGAUGUGGGAAGGCCCAGACAGCCAGGAUGUUGGCUUAGAAGCAGCCAUCAUUUAAAGAAAGCGUAAUAGCUCACUGGUCGAGUCGGCCUGCGCGGAAGAUGUAACGGGGCUAAACCAUGCACCGAAGCUGCGGCAGCGACGCUUAUGCGUUGUUGGGUAGGGGAGCGUUCUGUAAGCCUGUGAAGGUGUGCUGUGAGGCAUGCUGGAGGUAUCAGAAGUGCGAAUGCUGACAUAAGUAACGAUAAAGCGGGUGAAAAGCCCGCUCGCCGGAAGACCAAGGGUUCCUGUCCAACGUUAAUCGGGGCAGGGUGAGUCGACCCCUAAGGCGAGGCCGAAAGGCGUAGUCGAUGGGAAACAGGUUAAUAUUCCUGUACUUGGUGUUACUGCGAAGGGGGGACGGAGAAGGCUAUGUUGGCCGGGCGACGGUUGUCCCGGUUUAAGCGUGUAGGCUGGUUUUCCAGGCAAAUCCGGAAAAUCAAGGCUGAGGCGUGAUGACGAGGCACUACGGUGCUGAAGCAACAAAUGCCCUGCUUCCAGGAAAAGCCUCUAAGCAUCAGGUAACAUCAAAUCGUACCCCAAACCGACACAGGUGGUCAGGUAGAGAAUACCAAGGCGCUUGAGAGAACUCGGGUGAAGGAACUAGGCAAAAUGGUGCCGUAACUUCGGGAGAAGGCACGCUGAUAUGUAGGUGAAGCGACUUGCUCGUGGAGCUGAAAUCAGUCGAAGAUACCAGCUGGCUGCAACUGUUUAUUAAAAACACAGCACUGUGCAAACACGAAAGUGGACGUAUACGGUGUGACGCCUGCCCGGUGCCGGAAGGUUAAUUGAUGGGGUCAGCGCAAGCGAAGCUCUUGAUCGAAGCCCCGGUAAACGGCGGCCGUAACUAUAACGGUCCUAAGGUAGCGAAAUUCCUUGUCGGGUAAGUUCCGACCUGCACGAAUGGCGUAAUGAUGGCCAGGCUGUCUCCACCCGAGACUCAGUGAAAUUGAACUCGCUGUGAAGAUGCAGUGUACCCGCGGCAAGACGGAAAGACCCCGUGAACCUUUACUAUAGCUUGACACUGAACAUUGAGCCUUGAUGUGUAGGAUAGGUGGGAGGCUUUGAAGUGUGGACGCCAGUCUGCAUGGAGCCGACCUUGAAAUACCACCCUUUAAUGUUUGAUGUUCUAACGUUGACCCCUAAUCGGGGUUGCGGACAGUGUCUGGUGGGUAGUUUGACUGGGGCGGUCUCCUCCUAAAGAGUAACGGAGGAGCACGAAGGUUGGCUAAUCCUGGUCGGACAUCAGGAGGUUAGUGCAAUGGCAUAAGCCAGCUUGACUGCGAGCGUGACGGCGCGAGCAGGUGCGAAAGCAGGUCAUAGUGAUCCGGUGGUUCUGAAUGGAAGGGCCAUCGCUCAACGGAUAAAAGGUACUCCGGGGAUAACAGGCUGAUACCGCCCAAGAGUUCAUAUCGACGGCGGUGUUUGGCACCUCGAUGUCGGCUCAUCACAUCCUGGGGCUGAAGUAGGUCCCAAGGGUAUGGCUGUUCGCCAUUUAAAGUGGUACGCGAGCUGGGUUUAGAACGUCGUGAGACAGUUCGGUCCCUAUCUGCCGUGGGCGCUGGAGAACUGAGGGGGGCUGCUCCUAGUACGAGAGGACCGGAGUGGACGCAUCACUGGUGUUCGGGUUGUCAUGCCAAUGGCACUGCCCGGUAGCUAAAUGCGGAAGAGAUAAGUGCUGAAAGCAUCUAAGCACGAAACUUGCCCCGAGAUGAGUUCUCCCUGACCCUUUAAGGGUCCUGAAGGAACGUUGAAGACGACGACGUUGAUAGGCCGGGUGUGUAAGCGCAGCGAUGCGUUGAGCUAACCGGUACUAAUGAACCGUGAGGCUUAACCUU